CCUACGGGAGGCAGCAGUGCGGAAUAUUGGUCAAUGGGCGCUAGCCUGAACCAGCCAAGUAGCGUGAAGGAUGACUGCCCUAUGGGUUGUGAACUUCUUUUAUAUGGGAAUAAAGUGCAGUAUGUAUACUGCUUUGCAUGUACCUUAUGAAUAAGGAUCGGCUAACUCCGUGCCAGCAGCAGCGGUAAUACGGAGGAUCCGAGCGUUAUCCGGAUUUAGUGGGUUUAAAGGGAGCGUAGGCGGGUUGUUAAGUCAGUUGUGAAAGUUUGCGGCUCAACCGUAAAAUUGCAGUUGAUACUGGCAUCCUUGAGUACAGUAGAGGUAGGCGGAAUUCGUGGUGUAGCGGUGAGAUGCUUAGAUAUCACGAAGAACUCCGAUUGCGAGGGCAGCCUGCUGGACUGUAACUGACGCUGAUGCUCGAAAGUGUGGGUAUCAAACAGGAUUAGAUACCCCUGUAGUC
rnacentral:rRNA from 1 species